rnacentral:rRNA from 1 species
GAUGAACGCUGGCGGCGUGCCUAAUACAUGCAAGUCGAGCGAAUGGAUUAAGAGCUUGCUCUUAUGAAGUUAGCGGCGGACGGGUGAGUAACACGUGGGUAACCUGCCCAUAAGACUGGGAUAACUCCGGGAAACCGGGGCUAAUACCGGAUAACAUUUUGAACCGCAUGGUUCGAAAUUGAGAGGCGGCUUGGGCUGUCACUUAUGGAGGGACCCGCGUCGCAUUAGCUAGUUGGUGAGGUAACGGCUCACCAAGGCAACGAUGCGUAGCCGACCUGGGAGGGUGAUCGGCCACACUGGGACUGAGACACGGCCCAGACUCCUACGGGAGGCAGCAGUAGGGAAUCUUCCGCAAUGGACGAAAGUCUGACGGAGCAACGCCGCGUGAGUGAUGAAGGCUUUCGGGUCGUAAAACUCUGUUGUUAGGGAAGAACAAGUGCUAGUUGAAUAAGCUGGCACCUUGACGGUACCUAACCAGAAAGCCACGGCUAACUACGUGCCAGCCGCCGCAGUAA